GACGAACGCUGGCGGCGUGCUUAACACAUGCAAGUCGAACGAUGAAGCCUAGCUUGCUAGGUGGAUUAGUGGCGAACGGGUGAGUAAUACGUGAGUGACCUACCUUUGACUCUGGGAUAAGCCUGGGAAACUGGGUCUAAUACCGGAUACGACCAAUCUCCGCAUGGGGUGUUGGUGGAAAGCGUUAUGGAGUGGUUUUAGAUGGGCUCACGGCCUAUCAGCUUGUUGGUGAGGUAAUGGCUUACCAAGGCGACGACGGGUAGCCGGCCUGAGAGGGUGACCGGCCACACUGGGACUGAGACACGGCCCAGACUCCUACGGGAGGCAGCAGUGGGGAAUAUUGCACAAUGGGCGCAAGCCUGAUGCAGCGACGCCGCGUGAGGGAUGACGGCCUUCGGGUUGUAAACCUCUGUUAGCAUCGAAGAAGCGAAAGUGACGGUAGGUGCAGAGAAAGCGCCGGCUAACUACGUGC
rnacentral:rRNA from 1 species